GCUGUCAUUGACUUAGAGGAAAACAUCUCCUCUUUGACGCUUACCAACAAGUAAGUUGUUCACACACACCAAGUGAAACAGUGGAUAUGAUGAGCCUUGACAGUCUUUCAACUGGGGAGCACUGGAAAAAGAAGACUUCUUCAGUCCAAAAGGGGAAAGGAAUAAAACUACCAGAAAAAUGUGACUCUUCCUCUCUGAAUUUUCUGCAUUCCAGCCAUGGAUGGAAAGAGUCUCAGACCCAAAUGAUAUGAGACCCAGACAGGAUAAUGUGACACUCAAUCCCCACUCUCACUGAGGCAUACCUCUGUUUGGCAAAGCAAUGUGUCUCCCAAAUUAUGACAACAUACCAAUACAGACAUAAAAUGUGUUUAUGAGUCUUCAACUGCUGUGGAGGAUGUGAGAUCAUUGGGCUGAAUACUUAACCACAUUAGGCUUGUUUGGGCUCUAUUGCAGCUUUCAAGAGAAAACUUCAAGGUAGUUAAACAGCAAACCGUGUGUCCUCUGGGCACAGAGGAAUCCUGUCCUUUCACCAAACUGGCACAACUGUUCUGGCAUCAGCUCUGCUUAUAGAAAGCCGUUGGGAGCAUGGCCAAGCAAGAGCAAGUGGACUGCUGAAGCACUGCAGCACUUCAUGCUGAUGUUUGCAGCCCUGACACUGCUCCAAGCCAGAUGCUCUGCUCCAGCAUCCGGAAUGGGGAGGAGAACAGGAAAACAGAAACAAGGCAGAGAAUCAAUGACUGAGAAACAACCAGGAACACCAGGGGAAGAAUGGAUAACGCAGGCUACUUAGGGUAAGAGAAAUUAGGGAGGACAGGGGCUAAACAUGGGCAAUUCUAUGGCACUUAGUCAAUGAGUCAUGGAACAGGAGUUCAGCAGUGGAAACCCUGCUCUGAAACUGCACCCAGCUGUUCCCCUCCCCUCUUCUGUUAAAAAGUAAUUUUGCUUGAUAACAAUUACUAUGUGGAACGGUGUAAUGGUGGAGUUUUCACUCAUAUUUACAUUAAACAUUAUCUACAAACACACCUGGGGAGUUGAUAAGAAUGAGUAUGUGAUGCUGUGUGUCUUAUGGUGACUGGUACUGAUUAAGCAAAACAUGGGGCAUGUACUGUAGCGCACACCUUUGUGGGAGAAUCAGGAAGGAAAAUGAAUACAGCGACAAAUAAAAUACUCUCCAACAAAAUUCUCCUUUUUUUCAGCUUGUGCCCUGCUCUUUAUUAGGGUGCAACUGAUACACGACAUUUCAGCAAGUUUUAGUAAGAUAAUAUUGUACCAGAGACUGUAAA